AUCGCUUCUCAGCCUUUUGGCUAAGAUCAAGUGUAGUAUCUGUUCUUAUCAGUUUAAAUUGCGAAAGUGUGUGUGUGUAUUUAAUACUGAAGGUGGGGGUAAGGAAGUUUCCCAGUAUAAUCCACCUGGAAACAUCAGCAGGUUUGGUGUUGCCUAAAAGUUGGGAGUUGUUUUAAUAUUUUUCUUAACCAAGU